rnacentral:rRNA from 1 species
UACGUAGGGUGCGAGCGUUGUCCGGAAUUAUUGGGCGUAAAGAGCUCGUAGGCGGUUUGUCGCGUCUGCUGUGAAAACCUAAGGCUCAACCUUGGGCUUGCAGUGGGUACGGGCAGACUAGAGUGUGGUAGGGGAGACUGGAAUUCCUGGUGUAGCGGUGAAAUGCGCAGAUAUCAGGAGGAACACCGAUGGCGAAGGCAGGUCUCUGGGCCAUUACUGACGCUGGAGAAGCGAAAAGCAUGGGGAGCGAACAGG